CUACGGGGGGCACCAGUGGGGAAUCUUGGACAAUGGGCGCAAGCCUGAUCCAGCCAUGCCGCGUGAGUGAAGAAGGCCUUAGGGUCGUAAAGCUCUUUCGCCAGAGAUGAUAAUGACAGUAUCUGGUAAAGAAACCCCGGCUAACUCCGUGCCAGCAGCCGCGGUAAUACGGAGGGGGUUAGCGUUGUUCGGAAUUACUGGGCGUAAAGCGCGCGUAGGCGGAUUAGUCAGUCAGAGGUGAAAUCCCAGGGCUCAACCCUGGAACUGCCUUUGAUACUGCUAGUCUUGAGUUCGUGAGAGGUGAGUGGAAUUCCGAGUGUAGAGGUGAAAUUCGUAGAUAUUCGGAGGAACACCAGUGGCGAAGGCGGCUCACUGGCUCGAUACUGACGCUGAGGUGCGAAAGUGUGGGGAGCAAACAGGAUUAGAUACCCGCGUAGUC
rnacentral:rRNA from 1 species